AAAUUGAAGAGUUUGAUCAUGGCUCAGAUUGAACGCUGGCGGCAGGCCUAACACAUGCAAGUCGAACGGUAACAGGAAGCAGCUUGCUGUUUCGCUGACGAGUGGCGGACGGGUGAGUAAUGUCUGGGAAACUGCCUGAUGGAGGGGGAUAACUACUGGAAACGGUAGCUAAUACCGCAUAACGUCGCAAGACCAAAGAG
rnacentral:rRNA from 1 species